CGUUGGGUAGCUCGGUUGGAAGGGCGUCAGACUGUAUAAUGGUUAACCUUUAUCUGAAUGUUAUUGGUUCGAUCCCGGUCACGGAGA